rnacentral:rRNA from 1 species
GUGGGGAAUUUUGGACAAUGGGCGAAAGCCUGAUCCAGCAAUGCCGCGUGUGUGAAGAAGGCCUUCGGGUUGUAAAGCACUUUUGUCCGGAAAGAAAUCCUUUGGGUUAAUACCUCGGAGGGAUGACGGUACCGGAAGAAUAAGGACCGGCUAACUACGUGCCAGCAGCCGCGGUAAUACGUAGGGUCCGAGCGUUAAUCGGAAUUACUGGGCGUAAAGCGCGCGCAGGCGGUUUUGUAAGACAGAUGUGAAAUCCCCGGGCUUAACCUGGGAAUUGCAUUUGUGACUGCAAGGCUAGAGUGUGUCAGAGGGGGGUAGAAUUCCACGUGUAGCAGUGAAAUGCGUAGAGAUGUGGAGGAAUACCGAUGGCGAAGGCGACACCCUGGACCGAUACUGACACUGAGGUGCGAAAGCGUGGGUAGCGAACAGGAUUAGAUACCCUUGUAGUCC